rnacentral:miRNA from 1 species
CAGAGAAGCUAGGAACCCUGGUACUUGCCUGUAAUCCCAGUGGCUUGGGAGGCCGAGGCAGGAGGAU